rnacentral:rRNA from 1 species
CCCUUAGAUGUUCUGGGCCGCACGCGCGCUACACUGAUGCAUUCAACGAGUCUAAAACCUGCUCUGAUAGGGGUGGGUAAUCUUUUGAAUGUGCAUCGUGAUUGGGAUAGAUGAUUGCAAUUUUUCAUCUUCAACGAGGAAUGCCUAGUAAACGCAAGUCAUCGGCUUGCAUUGAUUACGUCCCUGCCCCUUGUACACACCGCCCGUCGCUCCUACCGAUUGAAUGAUCCGAUGAAUAUCAUGGAUUGAGGAUGCAAGUAGGUUCGCCUAUCUUCAUCUUCGAGAAGUGAAGUAAAUCUUAUCAUUUAGAGGAAGGAGAAGUCGUAACA